GAUGAACGCUGGCGGCGUGCCUAAUACGUGCAAGUCGAGCGAACGGACGAGAAGCUUGCUUCUCUGAUGUUAGCGGCGGACGGGUGAGUAACACGUGGAUAACCUACCUAUAAGACUGGGAUAACUUCGGGAAACCGGAGCUAAUACCGGAUGAUAUUUUGAACCGCAUGGUUCAAAAGUGAAAGACGGUCUUGCUGUCACUUAUAGAUGGAUCCGCGCUGCAUUAGCUAGUUGGUAAGGUAACGGCUUACCAAGGCAACGAUGCAUAGCCGACCUGAGAGGGUGAUCGGCCACACUGGAACUGAGACACGGUCCAGACUCCUACGGGAGGCAGCAGUAGGGAAUCUUCCACAAUGGGCGAAAGCCUGACGGAGCAACGCCGCGUGAGUGAUGAAGGUCUUCGGAUCGUAAAACUCUGUUAUUAGGGAAGAACAUAUGUGUAAGUAACUGUGCACAUCUUGACGGUACCUAAUCAGAAAGCCACGGCUAACUACGUG
rnacentral:rRNA from 1 species